AUGAACGCUGGCGGCGUGCCUAAUACAUGCAAGUCGAGCGAACAGAUGAGGAGCUUGCUCCUCUGACGUUAGCGGCGGACGGGUGAGUAACACGUGGAUAACCUACCUAUAAGACUGGGAUAACUUCGGGAAACCGGAGCUAAUACCGGAUAAUAUAUUGAACCGGAUGGUUCAAUAGUGAAAGACGGUUUUGCUGUCACUUAUAGAUGGAUCCGCGCCGCAUUAGCUAGUUGGUAAGGUAACGGCUUACCAAGGCAACGAUGCGUAGCCGACCUGAGAGGGUGAUCGGCCACACUGGAACUGAGACACGGUCCAGACUCCUACGGGAGGCAGCAGUAGGGAAUCUUCCGCAAUGGGCGAAAGCCUGACGGAGCAACGCCGCGUGAGUGAUGAAGGUCUUCGGAUCGUAAAACUCUGUUAUUAGGGAAGAACAAAUGUGUAAGUAACUAUGCACGUCUUGACGGUACCUAAUCAGAAAGCCACGGCUAACUACGUG
rnacentral:rRNA from 1 species